AGUGAACGCUGGCGGUAGGCCUAACACAUGCAAGUCGAACGGCAGCACAGUAAGAGCUUGCUCUUACGGGUGGCGAGUGGCGGACGGGUGAGGAAUACAUCGGAAUCUACUUUUUCGUGGGGGAUAACGUAGGGAAACUUACGCUAAUACCGCAUACGACCUACGGGUGAAAGCAGGGGAUCUUCGGACCUUGCGCGAUUGAAUGAGCCGAUGUCGGAUUAGCUAGUUGGCGGGGUAAAGGCCCACCAAGGCGACGAUCCGUAGCGGGUCUGAGAGGAUGAUCAGCCACACUGGAACUGAGACACGGUCCAGACUCCUACGGGAGGCAGCAGUGGGGAAUAUUGGACAAGGGGCGCAAGCCUGAUCCAGCCAUACCGCGUGGGUGAAGAAGGCCUUCGGGUUGUAAAGCCCUUUUGUUGGGAAAGAAAAGCAGCAGGUUAAUACCCCGCUGUUCUGACGGUACCCAAAGAAUAAGCACCGGCUAACUUCGU
rnacentral:rRNA from 1 species